rnacentral:rRNA from 1 species
UACGUAGGGAGCAAGCGUUGUUCGGAUUUACUGGGCGUAAAGGGCGCGUAGGCGGCAAUUCAAGUCACUUGUGAAAUCUCCGGGCUUAACUCGGAACGGUCAAGUGAUACUGCUUUGCUAGAGUGCGGAAGGGGCAAUCGGAAUUCUCGGUGUAGCGGUGAAAUGCGAAGAUAUCGAGAGGAACACCUGAGGUGAAGACGGGUUGCUGGGCCGACACUGACGCUGACAGCGCGAAAGCCAGGGGAGCAAACGGG